AAGGACCCACUCCAGUCAGCCGUCAGCAGCCCUCUCAGACGGGUUGUUUCGGAAGGCACCCGAGAGGCAAUUUCUGUACAUGCACUGCUCUCCCAACAAGGGGAAAACUGACCACGGUCACCAAACGGGCCAGAGGGACUCCUGCCAGAACUGGUUCUCAGCCGGCUUCUGAGGCAGCUGUCCCAAGCUAAGCAUAAAGAAAGGGAGGGGAAAAGGGGGUCACCGAGCUGCUGAGCACUUACUGUGCACCAACCUCCGUGUUUCGAGCCUCAGGACAUGAGCUCAUUUGCACCUCGCAGAAAUCCUGUGGCCCGAGUCAUUGCAUGUGAGUGCAAGGGAAUGAGGCUUGUGUAAAUCCAGGGUCGCAGAGCUGGAGUAUGGGGACGAGACUCCUAACACAAGGAAGCUAUCCAGCCUGGUGGCAUCUUUGGAAAAGCUGGGCCGAAUCUUCUUGCAAGGUCUUCCACCUGCAACGUUUCUUUCGCCAUCUGCUUUUCUACUACUCCCCUCUGGACCAGACUGUAAGGAGGCAGGAAAUGCGAUUCAACACUGUGGCCGAACCGGACAGGGAUCGGAUUGGUGUCUGCAGGCAGCCAAGAGCCAGCAGCUUUUCAGAAUGAUCAUUUAGUGGGAAAAUUUGUUAACUUUGCUUUAUUUCUCCUACCAAUUAUAUUUUAAAAAAAUCACACAAAUAAAACAGCUCAAUAAAAAGUAUUAAUUACCUGACAA